rnacentral:rRNA from 1 species
CGGGACGGGUGAGUAAUGUCUGGGAAACUGCCUGAUGGAGGGGGAUAACUACUGGAAACGGUAGCUAAUACCGCAUAACGUCGCAAGACCAAAGAGGGGGACCUUCGGGCCUCUUGCCAUCGGAUGUGCCCAGAUGGGAUUAGCUAGUAGGUGGGGUAACGGCUCACCUAGGCGACGAUCCUAGCUGGUCUGAGAGGAUGACCAGCCACACUGGAACUGAGACACGGUCCAG